ACAUACGACCAUACCUACCAGAAAAUACGGGAUCCCGUCCGCUCUCCCAUAGUCAAGCUGGUAAGGGGCGGAUUAGUAGUUGGGUCGGUGACGACCAGCGAAUCCCCGCUGUUGCAUGUA
rfam:Fusarium poae strain 2516 chromosome FPOA_4 Chr4, whole genome shotgun sequence.